AUUGAACGCUGGCGGCAUGCCUUACACGUGCAAGUCGAACGGCAGCACGGGAGCAAUCCUGGUGGCGAGUGGCGAACGGGUGAGUAAAGUAUCGGAACGUGCCCAGUCGUGGGGGACAACGUAGCGAAAGUUACGCUAAUACCGCAUACGAUCUAUGGAUGAAAGCGGGGGAUCGCAAGACCUCGCGCGAUUGGAGCGGCCGAUAUCAGAUUAGGUAGUUGGUGGGGUAAAGGCUCACCAAGCCGACGAUCUGUAGCUGGUCUGAGAGGACGACCAGCCACACUGGGACUGAGACACGGCCCAGACUCCUACGGGAGGCAGCAGUGGGGAAUUUUGGACAAUGGGCGAAAGCCUGAUCCAGCCAUGCCGCGUGCAGGAUGAAGGCCUUCGGGUUGUAAACUGCUUUUGUACGGAACGAAAAGGUUUGGGCUAAUAAGCUGAGCUCAUGACGGUACCGUAAGAAUAAGCACCGGCUAACUACGUGCCAGCAGCCGCCGUAA
rnacentral:rRNA from 1 species